CUAAGACUAAGUAGCCCUUGAAACCAAUGUACCGCCGAUCCUUAUAUCAUAACCCAAACGCUCACUUCAGUAAGCAAAAAACAAGCACAAUAAAAUGUUCAAUUUAUUCAAUGGAAUUAUUAAAAUGCUGUUUCACCCGGCUGCAGAUCCACCAACCGUGGCCUCUGCUUCAAGUGCCACAUUCGAUGAUGCCCACACAGCAAUGAUGCCACCAGCUACAAAGACGAAUUUUUCCAUCAAGGUGGCAUCAGAAGGGUCGUUAUUUUCCAUCAAUUUUUCCAUCUUUUGAGACGUUGCUUAACGUAGACCAAAGGACCUCCAAAGCAACACUUAAAAUGUA